GGUCGGGUGGUGUAGUGGUUAUCACAUUUCGUUUACAUUCCUUACUGUUCCGAAAUGGUCGCGGGUUCAAACCCCGCCCUGAUCA
rnacentral:tRNA from 1 species